rnacentral:rRNA from 1 species
AUUGAACGCUGGCGGCAGGCCUAACACAUGCAAGUCGAGCGGAUGAAGGGAGCUUGCUCCUGGAUUCAGCGGCGGACGGGUGAGUAAUGCCUAGGAAUCUGCCUGGUAGUGGGGGAUAACGUCCGGAAACGGGCGCUAAUACCGCAUACGUCCUGAGGGAGAAAGUGGGUGAUCUUCGGACCUCACGCUAUCAGAUGAGCCUAGGUCGGAUUAGCUAGUUGGUGGGGUAAAGGCCUACCAAGGCGACGAUCCGUAACUGGUCUGAGAGGAUGAUCAGUCACACUGGAACUGAGACACGGUACAGACUCCUACGGGAGGCAGCAGUGGGGAAUAUUGGAAAAUGGGCGAAAGCCUGAUCCAGCCAUGCCGCGUGUGUGAAGAAGGUCUUCGGAUUGUAAAGCACUUUAAGUUGGGAGGAAGGGAAGUAAGUUAAUACCUUGCUGUUUUGACGUUACCAACAGAAUAAGCACCGGCUAACUUCGUG